GCCCAGCUAGCUCAGUUGGUAGAGCACGAGACUCUUAAUCUCGUGGGUUUGAUGGGUGGUUGUGGGUUUGAUCCCCAUAUUGGGCG